rnacentral:rRNA from 1 species
GAUCAUGGCUCAGGAUGAACGCUAGCGACAGGCCUAACACAUGCAAGUCGAGGGGCAGCGAAGAGGUAGCAAUACCUUUGCCGGCGACCGGCGCACGGGUGAGUAACACGUAUGCAAUCCACCUGUAACAGGGGGGUAACCCGGAGAAAUCCGGACUAAUACCCCAUAAUAUGGGCGCUCCGCAUGGAGAGCCCAUUAAAGAGAGCAAUUUUGGUUACAGACGAGCAUGCGCUCCA